rnacentral:rRNA from 1 species
GUGGGGAAUCUUCCGCAAUGGACGAAAGUCUGACGGAGCAACGCCGCGUGAGUGAAGAAGGUUUUCGGAUCGUAAAGCUCUUUCGUUAGGGACGAACGUGCUCUUUGUGAAUAAUGAGGAGUAAUGACGGUACCUAAAUAAGAAGCCACGGCAAACUACGUGCCAGCAGCCGCGGUAAUACGUAGGUGGCAAGCGUUGUCCGGAAUUAUUGGGCGUAAAGCGCGCGCAGGCGGGAUAUCAAGUCUGUCUUAAAAGUGCGAGGCUCAACCUCGUGAGGGGACAGAAACUGGUAAUCUUGAGUGUCGGAGAGGAAAGUGGAAUUCCAAGUGUAGCGGUGAAAUGCGUAGAGAUUUGGAAGAACACCAGUGGCGAAGGCGACUUUCUGGACGAUGUCUGACGCUGAGGCGCGAAAGCUAGGGGAGCGAACGGGAUUAGAUACCCUUGUAGUCC